AUUCAGGUAGUUUAAAUAAAAUAUUGGUUUGUGGUGUCAAAGAAGUAAUAAUUACUCUGAAUU
rnacentral:tRNA from 1 species